UACGGGAGGCAGCAGGGGGAAUAUUGCACAAUGGGCGCAAGCCUGAUGCAGCCAUGCCGCGUGUAUGGAAAAGGCCUUCGGGUUGUAAAGUACUUUCAGUCGUGAGGAAGGUGUUAAGGUUAAUAACCUUAGCAAUUGACGCUAGCGACAGAAGAAGCACCGGCUAACUCCGUGCCAGCAGCCGCGGUAAUACGGAGGGUGCGAGCGUUAAUCGGAAUUACUGGGCGUAAAGGGCACGCAGGCGGUUAAUUAAGUUGGAUGUGAAAUCCCCGGGCUUAACCUGGGAAUGGCAUUCAAGACUGGUUAGCUAGAGUCUUGUAGAGGGGGUAGAAUUCCAUGUGUAGCGGUGAAAUGCGUAGAGAUGUGGAGGAAUACCGGUGGCGAAGGCGGCCCCUGGGACAAAGGCUGACGCUCAUGUGCGAAAGCGUGGGGAGCAAAC
rnacentral:rRNA from 1 species